AUUUGAAAUCUGGCGUAAGCCCGAGUUGUAAUUUGUAGAGGAUGCUUCUGGGUAGCGGCCGGUCUAAGUUCCUUGGAACAGGACGUCAUAGAGGGUGAGAAUCCCGUAUGUGACUGGCUUGCACCCUCCACGUAGCUCCUUCGACGAGUCGAGUUGUUUGGGAAUGCAGCUCUAAAUGGGAGGUAAAUUUCUUCUAAAGCUAAAUACCGGCCAGAGACCGAUAGCGCACAAGUAGAGUGAUCGAAAGAUGAAAAGCACUUUGGAAAGAGAGUUAAAAAGCACGUGAAAUUGUUGAAAGGGAAGCGCCCGCAACCAGACUUUGCGGCGGUGUUCGGCUGGUCUUCUGACCGGUUUACUCGCCGCCGUGAGGCCAUCAUCGUCUGGGACCGCUGGAUAAGACCUGAGGAAUGUAGCUCCCUUCGGGGUGUGUUAUAGCCUCUGGUGAUGCAGCGCGUCUCGGGCGAGGUCCGCGCUUCGGCAAGGAUGAUGGCGUAAUGGUUGUCGGCGGCCCGUCUUGAAACACGGACCAAGGAGUCUAACAUCUAUGCGAGUGUUCGGGUGUCAAACCCCUACGCGUAAUGAAAGUGAACGGAGGUGGGAACUUUUUGUGCACCAUCGACCGAUCCUGAUGUCCUCGGAUGGAUUUGAGUAAGAGCAUAGCUGUUGGGACCCGAAAGAUGGUGAACUAUGCCUGAAUAGGGUGAAGCCAGAGGAAACUCUGGUGGAGGCUCGCAGCGGUUCUGA
rnacentral:rRNA from 1 species